CGCCGCUGGUGGCUCGGCGGGCGCGCUGCGCGGGGACCGGGAGCCCGGCCGACUCCUCCCUCUCCGCCUCGCUCGCCUCGGGCUCUCCGCUCUUCCCUUUCUUCUCCCUCCACGACCUGCGUCUCCCCCUCGCUUCUCUCCAAACGCCGCCCGCAGCAGGCUGCUAGCAGAUAAGGCGCGCCCCAAGAGCCAGGUCGUGGGCUCCGCGGGAAGAGGGCGCCCGGCGACCGCGCUGAGGGCAGCUAGGGGACCCGACGAGGUGUGAGCCGCAGGUACUUACGCGGCCGUGAGCGUGCCCUACGUGCGGGGCAUCGUGGUGGGGACCUUCUCCAGGUAUUCUCCCUCUUAAGUCACCCACCAGCGAAUGGUUCAGGCACUGGAGAUGCAAAGAGGAGGACAGAGGGACCCCUGCCAUCAGAUCUCCUAAGCUUGGUGGAUGGGGAAGGUCAUGACCGAAUGCUGUGGAAGAGGCUCACCAGGAUGAUUUGCGAGCAGCGAACGGCCUUUGGGGGAAGAACACAAAGCCUGUGAGAAGUGAGCUGGUCCCAAGUUGCGAAAGACUUGCUGGAUGAAAAGUGGGUGUGGCAGUUGGAUAUAGUUAUGAAUUCCAAAAGUAGAUACUGGAUUGUGUUUGUAAUCUGGUCUGUACCUGGGCGUGAUUAAGUUAUGAUUCGGGCUUUGAUUGGGCCAUGACAUUUGGGUGUUGAUGAAAGGCAUGGCAAAGGAGAGAGUUGGGGCUUUUUGAUGUUGGAGUUUGAUGCUGAAGCCUUAAGCUGGAGCCCUGGGAAGUAAGCUCACAGAGGAAAGAGCAGCCAGCCCUGGGAAGAGAGGAACCCUCAACCCAGAGAGAAGCAAGCCCAGGAACGUAGGAACCCAGGAAGCCUGAACCCUCGCAGACAUCGGCAGCCAUCUUGCUCCAACACGUGAAAAUAGACUUUGGUGAGGGAAGUAGCUUAUGCUUUAUGGCCUGGUAUCUGUAAGCCCCUACCCCAAAUAAAUACCCUUUAUAAGAACCAACCAAUUUCUGGUAUUUUGCAUCAGCACCCCUUGGGCUGACUAAUAUGGGGGGGGAACAUUCUAGAGAGUGAGGCAACCAACAGGCCAACUCAAGGGGGAAGGGACUGAGUGGAGGUCAGGACAUGACCAGGAUCCACUGAAGGACACAAAGCAGAACAGGGCACAAUCGAGCUGGGGACUCAGAGCCAUCACUCAGGCUCCAGAGUGAGAGGAUGUGUAAUGGAUCCUGGGCACAGAGGGAGCUCGACAGUGGAGGGAGGAAGACUGAGCUGAGGCAGCAAUUGUGGGAAUGAAGGUGAACGAGUCAAACAGAACACUUCACGGGGUAACAAGGAGGUGAAAUCUCCUGGGCCUGGAAGCUCAUUGAUAUGGGAGCUGAAUGAGGAAUGGAGAGGUCUGAUCUCUCAGUGUGGAGCAGUGGGGAAGCUGAGUGUACGUACAUGUGCACAUCAACUCUGUGGGUUCCAUUUCUUCAGUGCAUGGAAAGAUAACUCUAGCCAAGCAUCUAUUGUGAGCUUCGAACUCAUAGUGCUUGUGCACAAUGUCUGUUGAUUAUCCUUCAUCUUCCUUGUGCAAAACCCUCUUAACCCCUGAAUAGCACAAGCUCAUGGUUUGACAUUUUAAAGCAGUU
ensembl:lincRNA